GACGAACGCUGGCGGCGUGCUUAACACAUGCAAGUCGAACGGAAAGGCCCUGCUUUUGUGGGGUGCUCGAGUGGCGAACGGGUGAGUAACACGUGAGUAACCUGCCCUUGACUUUGGGAUAACUUCAGGAAACUGGGGCUAAUAUCGGAUAGGAGCUCCUGCUGCAUGGUGGGGGUUGGAACGUUUCGGCGGUUGGGGAUGGACUCGCGGCUUAUCAGCUUGUUGGUGGGGUAGUGGCUUACCAAGGCUUUGACGGGUAGCCGGCCUGAGAGGGUGACCGGGCACAUUGGGACUGAGAUACGGCCCAGACUCCUACGGGAGGCAGCAGUGGGGAGUAUUGCACAAUGGGCGGAAGCCUGAUGCAGCAGCGCCGCGUGCGGGAUGACGGCCUGCGGGUUGUAAACCGCUUUCGCCUGUGACGAAGCGUGAGUGACGGUAAUGAGUAAAGAAGCACCGGCUAACUACGUG
rnacentral:rRNA from 1 species